AAAUUACUUAUUUGAACGAGUUUGUUUUGGUCGUCGCGUUGCCGUCACCUAUUUGCUAAAGGUCCCUAUGGAGGAACAAGCAGUGCAAACACAUCCUGAUAUCGGCAUGACAACAACCUUGUUACAACGUGUUUGCAGACCUGUAACAAAUUGCGCGUUUUCACGUGUGUAUUCAUGGUUUUCACUGAAAUUCAGGGCCCAUUUAUUCAAAGUUGGAUUAGUGCUAAUCCUGGGUUAGAAGUUAACCCGCUGUUUUGGUUCCAAUUGGCACAUAUGUUCAUUUCAAAACUUUGGAAUAUAAAACUACUACUAAUGCAGACAAGAAUUCUAGAAAUCGAUGCGGGUCAUGUUUAUAAACUUGAAACAAAGUGGCAGGGUAUUAUAUAGAUCACGUGAAUUCAUGUUUCGUUCAGUUUGAAAGGUUUUACGACAAUCAUUAUAGAGGUUCAGAUUUGACGGGAGGUACUUCAUGUAAGGCCCACAAAACAGUUUGUUGAAUUAUAAGGUAUGGU